rnacentral:rRNA from 1 species
UACAGAGGGUGCGAGCGUUAAUCGGAAUUACUGGGCGUAAAGCGCGCGUAGGCGGCUUUGCAAGUCGGGUGUGAAAUCCCCAGGCUUAACCUGGGAACUGCAUUCGAGACUGCAUUGCUAGAGUAUGGGAGAGGGAAGUGGAAUUUCAGGUGUAGCGGUGAAAUGUGUAGAUAUCUGAAGGAACAUCAGUGGCGAAAGCGACUUCCUGGACCAAUACUGACGCUCAUGUGCGAAAGCGUGGGGAGCAAACAGG